rnacentral:misc_RNA from 1 species
UCGCGGCUUAUCACCGGCAGUCCCCUUAGAGUGCCCAACUGAAUGAUGGCAACUAAGGGCGAGGGUUGCGCUCGUUGCGGGACUUAACCCAACAUCUCACGGCAUGAGCUGACGACAGCCAUGCAGCACCUGAGCACGCUGCCCUUUCAGGCUCAUCCCCCUUUCAGGGUCCUACUACGUGCAUGUCCAACCUGGGUAAGGUUCUUCGCGUUGCGUCGAAUUGAACCACAUGCUCCGCUGCUUGUGCGGGCCCCCGUCAAUUCCUUUGAGUUUUAGCCUUGCGGCCGUACUCCCCAGGCGGGGAACUUAAUGCGUUAGCUUCGGCACGGACGGAGUCGACACCGCCCACACCUAGUUCCCAUCGUUUACGGCGUGGACUAC